GACGAACGCUGGCGGCGUGCCUAAUACAUGCAAGUCGAACGAACCGCGACUAGGUGCUUGCACUUGGUCAAGGUGAGUGGCGAACGGGUGAGUAACACGUGGGUAACCUACCUCAUAGUGGGGGAUAACAGUCGGAAACGACUGCUAAUACCGCAUAGGACAUGGGAUCACAUGAUUCUGUGAGGAAAGGUGGCGCAAGCUAUCGCUAAGAGAUGGACCCGCGGUGCAUUAGCUAGUUGGUAGGGUAACGGCCUACCAAGGCGAUGAUGCAUAGCCGACCUGAGAGGGUGAUCGGCCACAUUGGGACUGAGCCACGGCCCAAACUCCUACGGGAGGCAGCAGUAGGGAAUCUUCCGCAAUGGACGCAAGUCUGACGGAGCAACGCCGCGUGAGUGAAGAAGGUCUUCGGAUCGUAAAGCUCUGUUGUUAGAGAAGAACAGCGCAUAGAGUAACUGUUAUGCGUGUGACGGUAUCUAACCAGAAAGCCACGGCUAACUACGUG
rnacentral:rRNA from 1 species